rnacentral:rRNA from 1 species
CCUACGGGAGGCUGCAGUGAGGAAUAUUGGUCAAUGGCCGGAAGGCUGAACCAGCGAUGCCGCGUGAAGGUCAGUGCCCUAUGGGCGUUAAACUUCUUUUGUGCGGGAGCAAUAAUGGUCACGUGUGGCCAGACGAGAGUACCGUACGAAUAAGCAUCGGCUAACUCCGUGCCAGCAGCCGCGGUAAUUCGGGGGAUGCAAGCGUUAUCCGGAUUUAUUGGGUUUAAACGGUGCGUAGGCGGGGAGGUAAGUCAGCGGUGAAAUGCCCCCGCUCAACGGGGUGAAGUGCCAUUGAUACUGGUGUGCUGGAAUGCGGAUGAGGUGGGAGGAAUGUGUGGUGUAGCGGUGAAAUGCAUAGAUAUUAGACAGAACACCGAUUGCGAAGGCAUCUUACGAAUCCGCGAUUGACGCUGAUGCACGAAAGCGUGGGUAUCAAACAGGAUUAGAUACCCGGGUAGUC